CUUAGUUUCAGAGUUGUUCAGUAAAUGGGCCCGGUGUCCACCAGCAGGGUAUCGACCAAAUAUGUGGUAGUGCAACCACAGGGUUUAACACUCUGCAAACAUUCAAACUGUGUUGAACAUCCAUGUUCGUUGACCCAGGAGAGUGUUCCUGACGUCUUGUUAGGUUGAUACAUACGCGGUUCUUUAUGCAGAAAAAAAGGAUCUGAAAUCUGUCAACCAAGAAGUGGACCUUAUCUCUAGUUCAGAUCAUCUCACUGUUGCUGAGACUCAUAUCAACCACCAACUCACUACCUCCACUUGAAUGUCUAAGAAACACAAUGAGACUGUGUACUUUGUGCUGUUCUGAGCAUGAAGAAUCUCCACGGACACUGAGCCCCUGCCACAAAGGAGGAUUAGAAAUAACCUCAAAUCUACACAGGAAAUUCUUUUCAUACACAGCUGUGGGCUCGGUAUGUCUGUGGGAGG